AGAGGCAGAACAAGUGUCACCCUGCGAGGCCAACUCAAGCACCCCAGAGAAGAGCCGAGAAGACACAAGAGGGAAGCCACAUUCAACCCUGCCCAGCAGCUCACCCGUUUCUGACGGAAGCCCUUCCAGCAGGCUCUGGCUAUACAACCUGAGCUAGACUUUCAAGCGUUUGUAAGAGCCGAGAGGCAACUUGGUGCCCUACGAAGUGUAAAUCCUUUGCCGUUGGCCAGGAAGAGCACCAGGCAGCCUCUCUCCGAAGGAUGACUUGGCCCACUCACCCUGACUGCACUGCCCCAACUGGCAGAGCCUUUCUGAUCACCUGGGGCCCAGUGAGGGCCCUGCUGAGGCUUUGUCUCACCCCAGGCACUGCGGACAGGCCGGAGGGUAUCCUCCCAUGCAUCUUAGUGGGAGCAAAAUAGAGAGGAAAAAUUGGAUUCCCUUGGAUGCCUCACCUCUGCUCUCUCUUGACCUUCCUUAAGAUGCCCCUGGCUUUGUGGGAGCUGUUGGGGAAACCCCAAAGCAUGGUCAAGGCGAGUUCCCUUGGCUCUCAGCAGCUCCCCCAGCCCGACUUCCUCUUCAUGGCGGGGCCCUUGGCAGAAGCCACAGCGGGGAAGACACACUCUACAGCAGGCAGCAAGUCACAACGGCACUUGGUGACCCAAGAAGACAACUCGGCUACAGCUGUUCUUUGGAAACUGGCUCAAUGGGGGAUUUUCACCAGGCCAAAUACACCAUCCCCACACACACGGCUCGAGAGUGGUGGGCACUUGGGGAUGAAAGGGAAGCAGCAACAACAGCUGGGAAAGGUGCUGUCUUGGCAACAUCUGAUGCACUUCUGGAGCAAAAAACUCAGCUUCCUCAUUCAGGUAAGCAGGAUGAGGCGCCUGUACGGAGCGGUCAGUGGGAAGGAGGGACAUUAGCGCUUUCCAUCCAUGCCACAGCGCUGGCCAAACCCACUCUGCCAUCACUUGUACAGGGGCCAAUGGCACUUUCCUUCAGGGUCAAUGGCAGAUUCAAGUUUGGUGUGCCCAACUGUGUCUACAAGUGUGCAAACCCCCACAUGCCUGUGCUUAGAUUGAAGCUGCGAGGAAAGGGUCUGGAGCGAAGGAAAAGAGAUUACACCACAUGCUUGACUUUUAGGAUUCUGCAGGGAGGACGCACACAAAGCAAUUGGGCAACAGAGCAGAGGAACCACUGCUACAAUCAGAGGGGGAAGAGGAAAACAUCUGGAAACCCUGGCAAGAGUUGGAAUGCACCAGUCUGC